rnacentral:rRNA from 1 species
AUUGAACGCUGGCGGCAGGCCUAACACAUGCAAGUCGAACGAGUGGCGGACGGGUGAGUAAUGUCUGGGAAAAUGCCUGAUGGAGGGGGAUAAAUACUGGAAACGGUAGCUAAUAACGAAUACCAUGGGAUGUGCACAGAUGGGAUUAGAUAGUAGGGUGGGUAAAGGCCCACUUAGGCGACGAGCCCUAGCUGGUCUGAGAGGAUGACCAGCCACACUGGAACUGAGACACGGUCCAGACUCCUACGGGAGGCAGCAGUGGGGAAUAUUGCACAAUGGGCGCAAGCCUGAUGCAGCCAUGCCGCGUGUAGGAAGAAGGCCUUCGGGUUGUAAAGUACUUUCAGCGGGGAGGCGUUACCCGCAGAAGAAGCACCGGCUAACUCCGUGCCAGCAGCCGCGGUAAUAC